UACGAAGGGGGGCUAGCGUUGCUCGGAAUCACUGGGCGUAAAGCGCACGUAGGCGGCUUUCUAAGUCAGGGGUGAAAUCCUGGAGCUCAACUCCAGAACUGCCUUUGAUACUGGAGAGCUUGAGUCCGGAAGAGGUGAGUGGAACUCCGAGUGUAGAGGUGAAAUUCGUAGAUAUUCGGAAGAACACCAAUUGCGAAGGCAGCUUACUACACAGUAAUUGACACUGAGGCACGAAAGCGUGGGGAUCAAACAGG
rnacentral:rRNA from 1 species